rnacentral:rRNA from 1 species
GUGGGGAAUAUUGCGCAAUGGGGGAAACCCUGACGCAGCGACGCCGUGUGAGGGAAGAAGGCUUUCGGGUCGUAAACCUCUGUCAGAAAGGAAGAACCUCCCAAGUCCGAAUAGGGCUUGGGACUGACGGUACUUUCAAAGGAAGCACCGGCUAACUCCGUGCCAGCAGCCGCGGUAAUACGGAGGGUGCAAGCGUUAAUCGGAAUCACUGGGCGUAAAGCGCGCGUAGGCCGCGUUGUAAGUCGGACGUGAAAGCCCGCGGCUCAACCGGGGAACUGCGUUCGAUACUGCGAGGCUUGAGUCCUGGAGAGGGUGGCGGAAUUCCGGGUGUAGGAGUGAAAUCCGUAGAUAUCCGGAGGAACACCGGUGGCGAAGGCGGCCACCUGGACAGGUACUGACGCUGAGGCGCGAAAGCGUGGGGAGCAAACAGGAUUAGAAACCCCUGUAGUCC